CCUACGGGAGGCAGCAGUGGGGGAUAUUGCACAAUGGUCGGAACCCUGAUGCAGUGACGCCGCGUGGGGGAAGACGGUCCUCGGCGCGUAAAGCCCUGUCAGCAGGGAAGAAAAUGCCGGUACCUGCAGAAGAAGCCCCGGCUAACUACGUGCCAGCAGCCGCGGUAAUACGUAGGGGGCAAGCGUUAUACGGAUUUACUGGGUGUAAAGGGGGCGCAGACGGCGAUGCAAGCCAGGAGUGAAAGCCCGGGGCCCAACCCCGGGACUGCUCUUGGAACUGCGUGGCUGGAGUGCAGGAGGGGUAGGCGGAAUGCCUGGUGUAGCGGUGAAAUGCGUAGAUAUCAGGAGGAACACCGGUGGCGAAGGCGGCCUGCUGGACUGCAACUGACGUUGAGGCCCGAAAGCGUGGGGAGCAAACAGGAUUAGAUACCCUGGUAGUC
rnacentral:rRNA from 1 species